rnacentral:rRNA from 1 species
GACGAACGCUGGCGGCGUGCUUAACACAUGCAAGUCGAACGGAAAGGCCCUGCUUUUGUGGGGUGCUCGAGUGGCGAACGGGUGAGUAACACGUGAGUAACCUGCCCUUGACUUUGGGAUAACUUCAGGAAACUGGGGCUAAUACCGGAUAGGAGCUCCUGCUGCAUGGUGGGGGUUGGAAAGUUUCGGCGGUUGGGGAUGGACUCGCGGCUUAUCAGCUUGUUGGUGGGGUAGUGGCUUACCAAGGCUUUGACGGGUAGCCGGCCUGAGAGGGUGACCGGCCACAUUGGGACUGAGAUACGGCCCAGACUCCUACGGGAGGCAGCAGCGGGGAAUAUUGCACAAUGGGCGGAAGCCUGAUGCAGCAACGCCGCGUGCGGGAUGACGGCCUUCGGGUUGUAAACCGCCUUCGCCUGUGACGAAGCGUGAGUGACGGUAAUGGGUAAAGAAGCACCGGCUAACUACGUG